GAUGAACGCUGACAGAAUGCUUAACACAUGCAAGUCAACUUGAAUUUGGGUUUUUUAACUUAGAUUUGGGUGGCGGACGGGUGAGUAACGCGUAAAGAACUUGCCUCACAGCUAGGGACAACAUUUGGAAACGAAUGCUAAUACCUGAUAUUAUGAUUUUAAGGCAUCUUAGAAUUAUGAAAGCUAUACGUGCUGUGAGAGAGCUUUGCGUCCCAUUAGCUAGUUGGAGAGGUAACGGCUCACCAAGGCGAUGAUGGGUAGCCGGCCUGAGAGGGUGAACGGCCACAAGGGGACUGAGACACGGCCCUUACUCCUACGGGAGGCAGCAGUGGGGAAUAUUGGACAAUGGACCAAGAGUCUGAUCCAGCAAUUCUGUGUGCACGAUGACGUUUUUCGGAAUGUAAAGUGCUUUCAGUUGGGAAGAAAAAAAUGACGGUACCAACAGAAGAAGUGACGGCUG
rnacentral:rRNA from 1 species